rnacentral:rRNA from 1 species
UGGGGAAUAUUGGACAAUGGGCGAAAGCCUGAUCCAGCCAUGCCGCGUGUGUGAAGAAGGUCUUCGGAUUGUAAAGCACUUUAAGUUGGGAGGAAGGGCAGUAAGCGAAUACCUUGCUGUUUUGACGUUACCGACAGAAUAAGCACCGGCUAACUCUGUGCCAGCAGCAGCGGUAAUACAGAGGGUGCAAGCGUUAAUCGGAAUUACUGGGCGUAAAGCGCGCGUAGGUGGUUCGUUAAGUUGAAUGUGAAAGCCCCGGGCUCAACCUGGGAACUGCAUCCAAAACUGGCGAGCUAGAGUAGGGCAGAGGGUGGUGGAAUUUCCUGUGUAGCGGUGAAAUGCGUUGAUAUAGGAAGGAACAACAGUGGCGAAGGCGACCACCUGCGCUCAUACUGACACUGAGGUGCGAAAGCGGGGGGAGCAAACAGG